GCACAGAACGAUCGACUGUCUGCAACAAUUUGUCAGAUAAUAACCAUGCUGGCGUCAGUUAAGCUCGUCCUCGUGCUGGUGUUGCUAGCACUGUUUACCACGGCGAUGGCAUCUCCAAUGCGUUACGGACGCUAUCGUUACGGUUACCCUGGUUACUAUGGGAACAACAACGGUUGGAACUAUGGGAACGACAACGGUUGGAACAAUAACAAUGGCGUUUGGAACAGUUGAUAAACGGCGAAAACUGUUAAUUGCAUUGUCUGAUUGUAUCAAUACAUUUACUCAGAGCUGUUGUAUUGUA